rnacentral:rRNA from 1 species
AUUGAACGCUGGCGGCAUGCUUUACACAUGCCAGUCGAACGGCAGCGCGGGCUUCGGCCUGGCGGCGAGUGGCGAACGGGUGAGUAAUACAUCGGAACGUGCCCAGUCGUGGGGGAUAGCUCGGCGAAAGCCGGAUUAAUACCGCAUACGACCUGAGGGUGAAAGCGGGGGAUCUUCGGACCUCGCGCUAUUGGAGCGGCCGAUGGCAGAUUAGCUAGUUGGUGGGGUAAAGGCCUACCAAGGCGACGAUCUGUAGCUGGUCUGAGAGGACGACCAGCCACACUGGGACUGAGACACGGCCCAGACUCCUACGGGAGGCAGCAGUGGGGAAUUUUGGACAAUGGGCGAAAGCCUGAUCCAGCAAUGCCGCGUGUGUGAUGAAGGCCUUCGGGUUGUAAAGCACUUUUGGCGGGAACGAAAAGGACUGUGCCAAUACCACGGUUCGAUGACGGUACCCGCAGAAUAAGCACCGGCUAACUACGUG